rnacentral:lncRNA from 1 species
UUUUUUCAAAAAAAUACAUUCUUAAAUAUAAUUUGACAUCAUUUCAACCACACAUUCUUCAUGAAACAGACACGCUUAAUCCUAGUUUUGAACAAAUGGUACACAUAACUAUAUAGUAGAAUUGUAGACACCACCGCCAUCCAACAUAACAAACAUGGGAGUUGGGGCAUGUCUUUCGAGUUUGAAACACAACUGUUGAAUCAUCUGAAUUAGAUUCCAUAAACAAAUCCAGAAGCAUGAAACUUUUGUCUUGUAAUAGCAUCAAUUUGGUGAAUCAUUUCAGGCUUCAAGUAGUUUAUGUGAUCACCAACUUUCCCAUUUCUGAAAAAUGAAUUAUACGGCAAUGGAAAACACUCUGGCGUCUCACUCGACUUGUUAACUUCGUGAUUACUCAACGUUUCAAAGCCACAACUUUUCACAAUUUCCUCAAUUUUUUCUUCUGCAUUUUCACCUUCAAAUGGACACCCAAGAAAUCCAGCCAAUCUUUUCACUUGUUUGUUUCCAUCUUCCUUAAGUUCCUCGAAGGUAACAAAGAAUACUUUCCAAGGCCUUUUAAGGCUUUCUUCCCUGUAAGCCAAAACAUGAUCAUAAUACGGGCCGAAAGGUAAAACCCCAUUGCAGAACUGAUCAACAGCAGCCUCUAGUGUCCAUGGAUCUUCGUGGAAUUUCUUUGCUUUUUGUAUGAAAUGCCAAAGGGAAACGAGAGUGUCCUUUGGAUUUCUUGUAACAUAAACAAUUUUACAAUCUGAGGAGUUGAGGACAUCGCCUAUAAUCUGGUAAGGAAUAUGGGUUCCAAGAAUUCUAACUUUUUGAUCAGUAAAUUCAGGGUCUUUUCCAUUGGAUUCAAGAAAUAGUUUUGUUUCUAGAGAUGGAAUGAGUUCAUGGGGGUGGUUGAAAAUCAGGGAUUUUUCUUCUGAAGAUCUGAAAAUAAUGGAAUGUAAAAGAGCUUUAAGCCAUGUAGUGCCAGUUUUGGGGAAAGAAGCAAGAAUUACAUCAGUUGGAAGUGGCUUGAAAUUCUCAACAACCUUUUUUGUGGAUUCAAGAUAAGUUGUCCAAAUCCAAGAGCCCUUAAAUUUGUAGAGAAAUUCAUCAGAAAACCAUUUUUGUUUUUGUGAAGUUAAUGACCAUGCACUUAUACUUACUCAUCAUUUAUGAAUAAAGAUAAAGGGCGUAAUAAAGAACAUUAGUUCAUAGUUCCCGUUCCUUAUGUAAAGCAAGUGCAGAUUUUGAAAAAUCAAAGCAGAACCUUUGCAAUGUUUGCCGGGAUGCUUGUUGGAACGACAUUUUUGGUAAGAUAGCAAGUAACAUAGGUGAUGAGACAAUAAAUUUUGGCUAUAGGUAACGAAUACACAUAAAACUAAAUUGCAUUACACCCAUACUAAGAUAGAACAUACGUUGUUACGUCCUUCAUAAGUUCUAGUACAAACAUAAUUCGAUUAACAAGUUCAACCCAAUAAAACUAAUCAAGUGGCCUCCUUUGUUUCCCGUUUCCUUCCAAACUUUCAUUUCCCUUGCCAAAAGUAAUGUUCAAGUUAAUCUCUACAUCUCGUUCGUAGGAUAUUCGAGCUAGAGUUUUGAACAUUCUUGGCAAAUCUUCGACUUCUUCAUUUUGCCGCAACAUUGAGCGCUUCAUUAAUGGUACUCGAUUCUCCACUUGACUCUCCUUGUUCUACCCAUUCGAAAAAUCCACAUUUCUUAUUGCAUGUGUUGAAUAAUCGCCCUUUGUUACACGUCUGCUUUUCAACUUUAAAACAUUUUUGAAAUCCAUGUGCACACCUUGGGCAACGACGUUUUCUAGGGCAUUCAUUGAAAAAAUGCCCAUUGCUUCUACAGUUGUGACAAAUUUCAGCAUUCCUUCCUUUCAUAUCCUUAGAUGGAAAACAAGCACAUAAAUUAGUUGUACAAACCAUGAACCCCAAAUUGUUCAAAGCAGAGCAACAUGUGAAAUAAAUAAAUCAAUUGCAAAAAAACAUCUCCGUUACUCAUCGUUUCUGCCCAAUCAAAAGAAUAAUCUGGUAAACUAUUUACGAAUAAGUUGCCAACAACUAUAAGGUUGCACAUCAAAAAUCAUAUCUAGUAAAGACUUGCAAGAUGAUACAACCAUAGUAAAAGCUACCAUUACACCACUUAAAUCAAGUCGUUGCCAACAAUCAAUUUGUUGCACGUCAAAAUCAAACAAAACGCCAAUUCAUUUACUAUAGACGAUACAUGAACUCUUUAGAUCGCAACCAUCCAUCGAUCAACGACACAUUUAACAACCUAAUUAUUGGAAUACUAUUAUACGCAUCAAUAUUUAUUUAACAGGGUCUAAAUGGCAUCCAGGAUAGAUUUUAGUCAUAAUUCUAAACAUGGUUAACAUGGUUUAAAAGUAUGAAACCUAUAUAAUUAACGGUUAAUUAGAAAAUCAACUCAAGCAUAGAACACACAAUAUAAUGUCGAGAAUCUCUAAUGCAUAUUCAAGAGUCUAGUCUAGAAUCUGGAUGCAUUAACGGUUAAUUGCAAAAUCAACUAAAGACAGUAAAUUGAAAACAAGUGCGAGUACAAUGCAGGAAAAAUGACGUGCCUCCAGUCCAGAAUCAAUCGGACGUACAAAACAAAUGCGAUCUAACAAGAAUGUUGCAGUAGCUUAUGUAUAAUAGCAUGCUUCUAAUCUCCGAAAAUCUGCAAUGAAAAUGCUUGCUGGAGCCGCAGGAUAAUGCCUGAACCACAGCGUACUGAAGACUGCAGUUAAGUCGAAAGGAAGCCCAUUUCUCGAGCAUCUGACCGCAUCGAGUGGUGUACAGGUCGCUGGAGUUUAUACUGUGACUGGAGGUGGAAAGUCGUCGAGGAAUAUGGUGGGUGUGUCGUUGACUGCGUGAGAGGGGUUUCGGAGAGCUGAAAUCGAGGGUACAGGGUGCGCAGGCUUCAGUCCAGCUCUCCAGUGUUUAGAUUGACUCCGGCGGUGGGGAUGUGGCUGAGCGUCGAUCGGAAAUGGGGCUUGUGGAAGAGCUGGAGAAAACGAAUUGGGGGAGGGGGGAAAUGAGGCGCGGUCUACUAAUUCUCCCUCCUUUUGUUCUCUGUAUCUGUCGUUUUUUUCUUUUUUUUUUUUUAAUUCUGCAAACGUCACCAAUUUUUUGAAUCCCUGUAGAAGACCUGAACCACCCCCUGUACCCCAAGCAUUAUUCAAAAAAGAAAGGGGGAAGGACCACUGCAGCACCGGUAUAACUUCUGUGAGAAAUUCCCUAGAUGAAUUACUCAAUUAUGAAUUUUCAGUUGGACUCGAUCAACAAUUUUCCAAUCAAGACCCCUUAUUUGGGCUCCAUUUUAUUGAAAUGUAGGGAAAAAUAUGUUUUAAAAUAUUGAUAUUUUUGAACAAUGUGCAGUUAAAAAAAAGAAAUAUUUAGAUUUAUUUGUAAUAUUAUUUUAUAGAAUAAUGUGUGGUUGAAAGGAAGAAAGAAAAAAAAAGCAUUAUAAUUUUAAUGGUGGCCAAACAGGGGCUUAAGAGAAUGGAGAGGUCAUGCGUCUGAUUUUUUCAUGUCCUUAUCUUGGAAAAAAAAUGUAUUAUUGAAUGUUGAUUUUUUGGAGAAUGUGUAGUUAUAAAGUCAAAGAAAAUCGAUUUACAUGUUAAAUUUUUUAUUGAAGAAUAUGUGGUCGAAAAUAAGUUUGAAGAAAUGGGACUCGAACAAGGACUUAAGAGUUUAUUUGCAAAGAUUUUCCAAAAAGAAAAAUGAUUUUUUAGAAUGUGUUGUCAAAAAGCAGAUAAAAUUAUGGAUCUAAAAAAUUGUGUGAUUAAAAAUAAAGCUGUUAAUAAAAAAUAGAGUUCAAUUGAAUGCUUAAGCCCUUGUUUGAUGGCCCUUAUUGAGAAAAUUUGAUAUUUUGAAUAAUGAUUUUUUGAAGAAUGAGUGGUUAAAGGUAAUAAAAAUUUUGGAUUUACGUCUAAAAUAUUUUAUUGUGUUAAUGCAUAAUUAAAUCGAAUAUAAGAAUUAAAGAAUCUUGUUUUUAUGGGAGACAAAGAGUGACUAAAUUUCAAAUUUACAUUUUCAAAGAGCUGUUUGUAGAACAUUUUAAAGUAAAAAUUCUACCCAUUUGAAUACGAAAAUAAAAGUUCGCAAAUUUGACUCUCCACCUUUUGGGUUGGAAUAUACAAAAAUUAACAAAAACGAUUUUUUUUUUUCAUAAUUAGGCUAUAUUUUUUCAAAAAAAUACAUUCUUAAAUAUAAUUUGACAUCAUUUCAACCACACAUUCUUCAUGAAACAGACACGCUUAAUCCUAGUUUUGAACAAAUGGUACACAUAACUAUAUAGUAGAAUUGCAGACACUACCGCCAUCCAACAUAACAAACAUGGGAGUUGGGACAUGUCUUUCGAGUUCAAAACACAAUUGUCGAAACAACUGAAAUAAAUUCCAAACAUUGGAGUUGGGACAUGUCUUUCGAGUUUGAAACACAACUGUUGAAUCAUCUGAAUUAGAUUCCAUAAACAAAUCCAGAAGCAUGAAACUUUUGUCUUGUAAUAGCAUCAAUUUGGUGAAUCAUUUCAGGCUUCAAGUAGUUUAUGUGAUCACCAACUUUCCCAUUUCUGAAAAAUGAAUUAUACGGCAAUGGAAAACACUCUGGCGUCUCACUCGACUUGUUAACUUCGUGAUUACUCAACGUUUCAAAGCCACAACUUUUCACAAUUUCCUCAAUUUUUUCUUCUGCAUUUUCACCUUCAAAUGGACACCCAAGAAAUCCAGCCAAUCUUUUCACUUGUUUGUUUCCAUCUUCCUUAAGUUCCUCGAAGGUAACAAAGAAUACUUUCCAAGGCCUUUUAAGGCUUUCUUCCCUGUAAGCCAAAACAUGAUCAUAAUACGGGCCGAAAGGUAAAACCCCAUUGCAGAACUGAUCAACAGCAGCCUCUAGUGUCCAUGGAUCUUCGUGGAAUUUCUUUGCUUUUUGUAUGAAAUGCCAAAGGGAAACGAGAGUGUCCUUUGGAUUUCUUGUAACAUAAACAAUUUUACAAUCUGAGGAGUUGAGGACAUCGCCUAUAAUCUGGUAAGGAAUAUGGGUUCCAAGAAUUCUAACUUUUUGAUCAGUAAAUUCAGGGUCUUUUCCAUUGGAUUCAAGAAAUAGUUUUGUUUCUAGAGAUGGAAUGAGUUCAUGGGGGUGGUUGAAAAUCAGGGAUUUUUCUUCUGAAGAUCUGAAAAUAAUGGAAUGUAAAAGAGCUUUAAGCCAUGUAGUGCCAGUUUUGGGGAAAGAAGCAAGAAUUACAUCAGUUGGAAGUGGCUUGAAAUUCUCAACAACCUUUUUUGUGGAUUCAAGAUAAGUUGUCCAAAUCCAAGAGCCCUUAAAUUUGUAGAGAAAUUCAUCAGAAAACCAUUUUUGUUUUUGUAUUGCUGAAUCAGGAUGAGGGUUUUGGUAUGCAAAAGCUUCCAUUGUUGAAGAAGAAAGGCUUCAAUUGAUGAAGAAUUCAGUAGUCAUUUUCAUUUUAUGCAGUAAAGAAGAAGGUGAUAGAAAAGUUGGUUGGCAAUUUAAUUACUUAUAGAAAAGUUUGUUGGCAAUUUAAUUACUUAUAGAAAAGUUGGUUGGCAAUUUAAUUACUCACUGACAGUAAAUGUGCGCCUCUACCGGACUUUGUGAUAUGUGCGCUAUAAGAAUAUCUUAUAGGAAUGUUAAGUGGAACGAGCAACUUGUAGGCGAGCUCACUUCCAAGGCAAGCUGUGAAUGUGAGCUGAACAACAAAAACCUUGUGUAAAAUGAGUGGCUCACAAGCCAGCUUAUGGUCAAGAGUUAAAAUGUAAUUUAUAAUUAAAAGAAACACGAGCAGUGAGUAGCUCGAGAGCUGAUUCGUCAAAGUUGUAUAAAUUUCUAAGUAAAACAGGUUCAUGCUUCGUAAAUGGACAUUUCUCUCAAACCAGCUAAAAAGGAAAAGAAUAGCGCAACCUUUUGCACUUUAAAGCAUUUAAGUGUCAAACUUCCCCUACCUUUCACCAUUAUUAAAGGUUGAAUCUCAACUUUGAGGAUCCCUACUGACCCGCCUCUAAAACUUUGUGAAGGAGGUAAAUUGCAGAAUGUACCCCAAUAGGUCAGGCGACAAAAGUAGCUUGUACACUGUGCCUACAAAGAGUCCAAUUCCAUGUCUCAGGAAUCGGACACCCACACCUUUCACCAUUAUUAAGUAUGAGUUGGGUAUUCAAUGUACGGAAUUGUUAGUUGACCUCUAAAUAGAUGAAGAAUAGUUAUAUUCAUACCAUAAUUUAUUAUGAAUGUAUCAAAUUUUAAUUGUAUUAAAAGUUAUUUAUUGUCACGCUUAUAUUUUAACUUUUUCCUUUACGUUCUUUUAUCCUUAAUCAUUCAUUAAUUAGUAUGCUUUUUGUGUGUGCUUUAAAAUGAGGGAUAGAAAAUUUAGUCACAAUUUUGCCGUUUUUGUCUACCAUUUUUAACCACAUUCUCACAAUAAAUAUUUUUCACAUAAAUCACAAACUUUUUCCUAUUUUUUAGCCAAUGAGUAACUAUGCACCUUUUAUGUCCCUUAAUAUGUCAAGUUCAACUUAUAAGGAGAUGGAAUUCCAACCACAAUAUUAAAAACAAUUUUUCCUUGAUUAUAAAAAGGACACACAUCAAACUCGAUUAAUUAAAAAUAAUUGUUAAUGUUAAAUAAACUUGUUUAUUUUAAUAAGUCAGUAAUCCGGAAAUAAUUUUAAACCAUUGUAUAAUUGUUCUUUUAAUUAUUGAAAAUGCAUUUUUUCCGGCAAUUUACACAAAUAGGAAUAAAAUAUGGGCUGAAUUUGAAAAAUAUUGAUUUUUGUUACAUUUUGCAAAUACAUCUUCAACUGGUGCUCAAGGAAAAAUAUGACAAUUAUAGUUUAUGUAAUUUUUUCUCCAUGUAUUUUAUGUAAUGGUUUUGAGACGACUUUAAUUUAUAUCAUGUGUUAAUUUUAUUAAAUUAUAUGUGAUUUUUUUUAAAAGUGUAACUUACUCUAUUUGUUAAUUCUUUGUAACUUUAACAAUUUUAUAGUAAGUGAUGGUUCGGUAGCUUCCAAAGAAUUAAAAAGUUCAUAACCCAAACUGGUAUGAGGGCUUCGAAGAUGUGAUUUUGUUUCCCCUUUUUCCUUGCAAAUCCAUUCAUUUAGGUCGGUAGACUAAGUCACCCGCGGCCUUCUCAUUUCAAAGCAAAUUGACAUAACUCUCACCAACAGAGCUCAUUUUGUCAUGUUGUUGGGAUAUUCGGACGAUAAUUUAAAAUAGUUGAUGGAUAAUUUAUUGACACCACAAACUCGGCUUGACUCGACUCAAAUAUGAUUGGCACUCGACUCAACGGUUUUCUGGUGUCUUCUCCGAUGGGGAAUGUAAAACUUCAAAUGGGGAAUGAGCUUCCCACAGACGGCGCCAAAUUGUUGACCUCCAAAAAUGGCUCCUCCACGUGGCCAACUUAUAGCUACUCCACGUAUCCUCCCUGCGAAAUGAACAAAUGGUCAGGUGCACACGGCCGGAACCGACGGGGGUGGCGGCCGUAUAUACUCCGACGGUCAAGUCAGGUUUGGGUGAUCGGAACAGUGCCUUGGGGCUACACAAAUCAAUCAAUAAAGGGGGAGGAGAAUAUAUAAACUUGUUAUGGAAUGCUAUGUAUUGAGAGUUUCAUUACCUUUGCCUCUUGCCAAACUGUGGGUAUUUAUAGGUGGUAUGAACCGUGGGAUGUGGAACACGUGUAUACAUCUGAUGGUAUGAAGCGUCUGCUCAUAGGCGUCAAUCAGCCGCGCUUGUAGAGUAGUCGGACAGUUUGUUUCCCCCGAGUUGAAUUGACAUAAAGUUGAUAAAUCACAUCAAAUAGCUUCAUGGGGACGUCAAAUCAAUUUAAACCUUAUAUGCAGAACAAAUCUUAAAUUGGCGGCGGAUCUUCUAAUCGGGGUCCACCUGAACCCGACCUCGGAGGUGGGAUACUUCGGCACAUCAGUAGUAGGAAUCGAUGUAUCACUUCGGAGAAGCUUCGGGAGGGUCGGAGUGGUCUAUUUGAUCUUGGCUUCGGUGGUGAGAUGACACUUCGGUAUCGAGGCUCAUAAAAUGAGGCGUAACAGUCAUAAUUCUCAACCAUCGAGAACAAUUAAAAUGCACAAAGAAAAAUAAAUACACAAGAAAAUUCAAGAAAAAUAAACACUUAAAUCAAUCCGCAUGCAUGUUACGCACAUAAUAAUAAUUAGAUUUAAGAGCUUAAAUGGUAACAUACCCUUCAUGAAACAGACACACGUAAUCCUAGUUUUGAACAAAUGGUACACAUAACUAUAUAGUAGAAUUGUAGACACCACCGCCAUCCAACAUAACAAACAUGGGAGUUGGGGCAUGUCUUUCGAGUUUGAAACACAACUGUUGAAUCAUCUGAAUUAGAUUCCAUAAACAAAUCCAGAAGCAUGAAACUUUUGUCUUGUAAUAGCAUCAAUUUGGUGAAUCAUUUCAGGCUUCAAGUAGUUUAUGUGAUCACCAACUUUCCCAUUUCUGAAAAAUGAAUUAUACGGCAAUGGAAAACACUCUGGCGUCUCACUCGACUUGUUAACUUCGUGAUUACUCAACGUUUCAAAGCCACAACUUUUCACAAUUUCCUCAAUUUUUUCUUCUGCAUUUUCACCUUCAAAUGGACACCCAAGAAAUCCAGCCAAUCUUUUCACUUGUUUGUUUCCAUCUUCCUUAAGUUCCUCGAAGGUAACAAAGAAUACUUUCCAAGGCCUUUUAAGGCUUUCUUCCCUGUAAGCCAAAACAUGAUCAUAAUACGGGCCGAAAGGUAAAACCCCAUUGCAGAACUGAUCAACAGCAGCCUCUAGUGUCCAUGGAUCUUCGUGGAAUUUCUUUGCUUUUUGUAUGAAAUGCCAAAGGGAAACGAGAGUGUCCUUUGGAUUUCUUGUAACAUAAACAAUUUUACAAUCU